GACGGAGGAUGCAAGCGUUAUCCGGAAUGAUUGGGCGUAAAGCGUCCGCAGGUGGCAGUUCAAGUCUGCUGUCAAAGACCGGGGCUUAACUUCGGAAAGGCAGUGGAAACUGAACAGCUAGAGUAUGGUAGGGGCAGAGGGAAUUCCUGGUGCAGCGGUGAAAUGCGUAGAGAUCAGGAAGAACAUCGGUGGCGAAGGCGCUCUGCUGGACCAUAACUGACACUCAGGGACGAAAGCUAGGGGAGCGAAUGGG
rnacentral:rRNA from 1 species